UGGCACCGUUAGAUUAGGGUCGAUUGUCUGCCAGAUGAUCGUCUCUGCUGCAAACAACGAAUCUGUAUGAGGAUGAAGGAUGGCAUUGGCGAUCGCUCCUCCCCAUACUUUGGAGGAGAUCGCUCCUUCACUGAUGAGCAGGCAAUUGUUGGGAAGGAAAGCUUCCUUCCCGACAAUCGCCUGC